CCUACGGGACGCAGCAGUGGGGAAUAUUGCACAACGGACGAAAGCCUGAUGCAGCGACGCCGCGUGAGGGAUGACGGCCUUCGGGUUGUAAGCCUCUUUCAGCACGGAAGAAGCGAAAGUGACGGUACGUGCAGAAGAAGCGCCGGCUAACUACGUGCCAGCAGCCGCGGUAAUACGUAGGGCGCAAGCGUUGUCCGGAAUUAUUGGGCGUAAAGAGCUCGUAGGCGGUUUGUCGCGUCUGCUGUGAAAGCCCGGGGCUUAACCCCGGGUGUGCAGUGGGUACGGGCAGACUUGAGUGCAGUAGGGGAGACUGGAAUUCCUGGUGUAGCGGUGAAAUGCGCAGAUAUCAGGAGGAACACCGAUGGCGAAGGCAGGUCUCUGGGCUGUUACUGACGCUGAGGAGCGAAAGCAUGGGGAGCGAGCAGGAUUAGAUACCCGAGUAGUC
rnacentral:rRNA from 1 species